rnacentral:rRNA from 1 species
UACGUAGGGGGCUAGCGUUGUCCGGAAUCAUUGGGCGUAAAGAGCGCGUAGGCGGCCAGAUAAGUCCGGUGUGAAAGUCAAAGGCUCAACCUUUGAAUGCCGCUGGAAACUGUCUGGCUAGAGUCCGGGAGGGGCGAGUGGAAUUCCUGGUGUAGCGGUGAAAUGCGCAGAUAUCAGGAGGAACACCGAUGGCGAAGGCAGCUCGCUGGGACGGUACUGACGCUGAGGCGCGAAAGCGUGGGGAGCGAACAG